rnacentral:rRNA from 1 species
AUGCAAAACCCUAAGCUUGGGGAUGCUAGUUUUGCUAUGUCUACUACUUGUUUCAAUGAUCAUGAUUGGGGUGAUUCUUCUUAUAACCUUGAAAAUUUAUCUAAACCCCAUGAUGAUUAUGAGAUUGAUAAUAGUGUCUGCAACAAUAUUGAAAGUUGGUUUGGAAGAGUGUCAACUUUAGAUCCCACAUAUUUGGAGAAUGUUCAAUCUUAUGAUAUUUUUGAUAAAACUGGGUUUGGAGAGGUCAUGACUUUAGUUAAUGAUAAUCCCACUAUUUUGGAAGAGUGUCAACUUUACAUGCAUGUGGAUCAUGUUGAGAAUAUGUUUUGUGAUAGCUAUUUUGUUGAAUUUGCCUAUGAUCCUUCAUGUAAUUAUUAUGAGAGAGGAAAAUAUGGUCGUAUAAUUUUUUUCUUAUUAAAUUACCUCUCGUCAUGUUGA